CAGAUCAGAAAGAUCAACAUUACCUGUAAAAGCAUAGUUUAAGUUCUGAACAUGAGCAACAAGAACAAAAAUAAGUCUAACAUGACGUAAAAGUAAGCUCAAUUAAAACCAGAUUCUAUGAGGGUUAUAAGAAUCUAUGAGGAAACCAGAUUGUACGAGAGUUACAACAAAAGACAAGUUUUGGAGGAAACCAGAUUCUAUGAGGCCUAUAAG
rnacentral:misc_RNA from 1 species